rnacentral:rRNA from 1 species
UACGUAGGGGGCAAGCGUUGUCCGGAUUUACUGGGCGUAAAGAGCGUGUAGGCGGCCAAACAGGUCCGUUGUGAAAACUGGAGGCUCAACCUCCAGACGUCGACGGAAACCGUGUGGCUAGAGUCCGGAAGAGGAGAGUGGAAUUCCUGGUGUAGCAGUGAAAUGCGUAGAUAUCAGGAGGAACACCGAUGGCGAAGGCAGGUCUCUGGGCUGACACUGACGCUCAUGCACGAAAGCGUGGGGAGCAAACAGG